rnacentral:rRNA from 1 species
GAUGAACGCUGGCGGCGUGCCUAAUACAUGCAAGUCGAGCGAACGGACGAGAAGCUUGCUUCUCUGAUGUUAGCGGCGGACGGGUGAGUAACACGUGGAUAACCUACCUAUAAGACUGGGAUAACUUCGGGAAACCGGAGCUAAUACCGGAUAAUAUUUUGAACCGCAUGGUUCAAAAGUGAAAGACGGUCUUGCUGUCACUUAUAGAUGGAUCCGCGCUGCAUUAGCUAGUUGGUAAGGUAACGGCUUACCAAGGCAACGAUGCAUAGCCGACCUGAGAGGGAGAUCGGGCACACUGGAACUGAGACACGGUACAGACUCCUACGGGAGGCAGCAGUAGGGAAUCUUCCGCAAUGGGCGAAAGCCUGACGGAGCAACGCCGCGUGAGUGAUGAAGGUCUUCGGAUCGUAAAACUCUGUUAUUAGGGAAGAACAUAUGUGUAAGUAACUGUGCACAUCUUGACGGUACCUAAUCAGAAAGCCACGGCUAACUACGUG